AGGACAUUUUGGAACCACAUCUACUCCUCCAGUUCAAAAUAUGGCAGUCGAUAUAAAAUAUAUUUUGGUUUCCUUGUCAAUCACAUUAAUCAUAGUUUUUUUUUUUCACUGGUGGUUGUUAUUGUAAAAAGAGAAACAAGUCAAAGCAAGAAAAACAACACGCGAAAAGCAUAAAGAAAUAUCAUACUACGAAAAGCUGUAAAUAACGAUAUCAGAGAUGAUAAAAAUAACGGUAAUAAUGAUAACAAAAAUGAAGAAAUACUGCUCGUAAAGAGAAAGGAGCCUGAUCUUGCGCAUAUAAAGGCGUGCUAAUGACAUUGGACAAGUCAUUUGCAUUGCCAAUCGCGUACCCAGAGCCUGCACUUCUUCUGACCAGCGACGAAGAACGAGGGCUCUGGCAUAAUCCAUUUUUUGAGACCAGGAUAUAUUGGUCUCCCGGUAUAAGAGCGCAUACGUUUAAAGACUCGCAAAAAAAAAUCCCUAUUUGUAAUUUUUAUUUUCAUCGGAAAUAAACACAGAACUCUGUCUCAAAUCAUGAUUUUACUUGAUUAUAGUUCUCUUCCGGGAAAAUGCGCAUGCGUCAUGCGUUAUG